rnacentral:rRNA from 1 species
AACGAACGCUGGCGGCAGGCCUAACACAUGCAAGUCGAACGCCCCGCAAGGGGAGUGGCAGACGGGUGAGUAACACGUGGGAACGUACCCUUCGGUUCGGGAUAACUCAGGGAAACUUGAGCUAAUACCGGAUACGUCCGAGAGGAGAAAGAUUUAUCGCCGAGGGAUCGGCCCGCGUCUGAUUAGCUUGUUGGUGAGGUAACGGCUCACCAAGGCGACGAUCAGUAGCUGGUCUGAGAGGAUGAUCAGCCACAUUGGGACUGAGACACGGCCCAAACUCCUACGGGAGGCAGCAGUGGGGAAUAUUGGACAAUGGGCGCAAGCCUGAUCCAGCCAUGCCGCGUGAGUGAUGAAGGCCCUAGGGUUGUAAAGCUCUUUUACCCGGGAAGANAAUGAUGUACCGGGAGAAUAAGCCCCGGCUAACUUCGUGCCAGCCGCCGCAGUAAC